CUUUUUUUGCCAAUGCCUUUGGUGUUUUUGUCACGAAGUCCUUGCCUAUGCCUAAGUCCUGGGUGGUUUGGUCUAGGUUUUCUUCUAGGGUUUUUAUGGUGUUAGGUCUUAUGUUUAAGUCUUUAAUCCAUCUGGAGUUAAUUUUAGUGUAAGGUGUCAGGAAGGGAGUUCUGAAGAGCACAACCUUUAUGUAUUUGCAUUGAUGCCUUCCUUCUCAUUUCUUGAAUACAUUUGCUAGAAUAUAUCUAUCUUAUUUUUUCUAAGAAACAUUUCUGUGUAUCUAAACUUUUUGCUGAUGUAUAAGUUGUUUAGUUAUACUUUCAUUUGUAUUGAUAGUCUUUUGCUUCUUUUGACUUUGGUUUUUUCUUAUUCAUCUUGCUUUUAAUUUACUCAUUACUUAAUUAAUGCAAAUUACUUAAUUAAUAAUAUCAACAACUAAGGCUUGGAAUCUGCCUCUGAGCCUCUUCAUUGGAAAUAUCUCAAGAGUACAUAAACAGGACAUUCAUUAUUGCUAUUUCUAAAGUUGUUGAGCUUUAAAUUUUUAUUUUCAAUUAGACAAACAUAGA
rnacentral:lncRNA from 1 species